ensembl:miRNA
GGCGUGGUGGCGGGCGCCUGUGAUCCCAGCUACUCAGGAGGCUGAGGCAGGAGAAUCACUUGAACUCGGGAGAUGGAGGUUGCAGUGAGC